GGACAGAGGACCAAAGCCGAACCCCCAGCCAGGGACCUCAUUGAAAACACUGAGGAUGUUGAACCUGAAGGACAAUAUGUGGACCCCAAAGAGAACCCCAAGGU